GCCUGGGUGGCUCAGUCAGUUAAGCGUUUGACUUUGGCUCAGGUCAUGAUCUCACAGUUUCAUGAGUUCGAGCCUUGUUUCAGGUG
rnacentral:tRNA from 1 species